rnacentral:rRNA from 1 species
AGCGAACGCUGGCGGCAGGCUUAACACAUGCAAGUCGAACGGGCGUAGCAAUACGUCAGUGGCAGACGGGUGAGUAACACGUGGGAACGUACCUUUUGGUUCGGAACAACACAGGGAAACUUGUGCUAAUACCGAAUAAGCCCUUACGGGGAAAGAUUUAUCGCCGAAAGAUCGGCCCGCGUCUGAUUAGCUAGUUGGUGAGGUAAUGGCUCACCAAGGCGACGAUCAGUAGCUGGUCUGAGAGGAUGAUCAGCCACACUGGGACUGAGACACGGCCCAGACUCCUACGGGAGGCAGCAGUGGGGAAUAUUGGACAAUGGGCGCAAGCCUGAUCCAGCCAUGCCGCGUGAGUGAUGAAGGCCCUAGGGUUGUAAAGCUCUUUUGUGCGGGAAGAUAAUGACGGUACCGCAAGAAUA